GCUCCCUUUUAGCCGCUCAUCUGCUAAAAUGGGAAUGAUACAGAGAUGAGCAUGGCCCCUGUGCAUGGGGGACCCACUUGUUCAUGAAGUGGUGUUU
rnacentral:snRNA from 1 species